UGCCAGACUCCUACGGGAGGCAGCAGUGGGGGAUAUUGCACAAUGGGGGAAACCCUGAUGCAGCGACGCCGCGUGAGUGAAGAAGUAAUUCGUUACGUAAAGCUCUAUCAGCAGGGAAGAAAAUGACGGUACCUGAAGAAGAAGCCCCGGCUAACUACGUGCCAGCAGCCGCGGUAAUACGUAGGGGGCAAGCGUUAUCCGGAUUUACUGGGUGUAAAGGGGGCGCAGACGGCGAUGCAAGCCAGGAGUGAAAGCCCGGCGCCCAACCCCGGGACUGCUCUUGGAACUGCGUGGCUAGAGUGCAGGAGGGGCAGGCGGAAUUCCUGGUGUAGCGGUGAAAUGCGUAGAUAUCAGGAGGAACACCGGUGGCGAAGGCGGCCUGCUGGACUGCAACUGACGGUGAGGCCCGAAAGCGUGGGGAGCAAACAGGAUUAGAUACCCCAGUAGUU
rnacentral:rRNA from 1 species